AACGAACGUUGGCGGCGUGGAUUAGGCAUGCAAGUCGAACGAAUCCCAGCUUUGUAGCAAUACCGAGCUGGGGGAAGUGGCGAAAGGGGCAGUAAUGCGUGGGUAACCUACCCUGGGGACCGGGAUAGCCUUCCUAACGGAUGGGUAAUACCGGGCGAUCUGUCGAGGGGGCAUCUCCUUGCCAGGAAACGAAUUUCGCCUCGGGAGGGGCUCACGUGAUAUUAGCUUGUUGGCGAGGUAACGGCUCACCAAGGCAAAGAUGUCUAGCGGGUGUGAGAGCACGACCCGCGCCACUGGCACUGAGACACUGGCCAGACACCUACGGGAGGCAG
rnacentral:rRNA from 1 species